GAAGUAGGGUCAGAAGCAAUACGCAUUUUGUAACGCGAGACACGUUACAAAACUAACUGGAUCAAUAUUAAUUUUCGCUACACGUUCUACAAUGAUGCUUUUGUCUGCCGUGUUUGCAUAUUUGAGACCCUCCGCAUAACUUACAAAAGAAUUUCUGUUUGUUGUGCUCACAUAUCCCUUUCCCCUUGCAGUCUUUACAGAUAUAUCUCACUCGUCUGUGCUCACAAAUACUACUACCAUUGCAAUCUCUACACCGCGUUUUUCUCCGAUUAUGGGAGCAUAUUUGAGAUCCGUGACAAUCUUUGCAAUAAUAUUUUACUUUGCCGUGAGGACAUUUAUAAGUGUUAGGUGUCGGUUCAUCAAGAAUAUUAUGUGGUGGUGGUGGCUGCUCUUCAGCCGUACGUUCAACCGUUUGUUCCUCCAUUUUAUCAAACUGUUCACAUCUUUAAACCGCUUUUCAAUUUUUUUAGAUGUGAGCUAAAGUCGGCUGGUAGUACGAGGUGUUAAAAACCAAUCUACGAACGGUAAACUAUCCCAUCUUGACCGUUCGAACGUCUCGCAUCGCGUCCCUAACCUUUCCUCUUCUGCCCACAUCAUAAGAUACAUCUGGUAGUCCAACUCGCGAACGAAAUCUCUAUCAACCACAAAGGUUUUACCUCUAAGAAACGAGGCGAAUACAUCACCACCCUCGUCAAUCAACGGGAAGAUUUCACGCCGCGUCUCGGUAUCAUUCUCACCGCCAAACAGUCCAAGGUCGUCAUGAUUGCAAAGGGCGUCACUACUACCCUCGUCUCCCAAGGAGGCUCUACUAGUCUCGUAUUUGGCGAGGGCUUGAUCAAACAGUGCAAAUCCCGACACGAGAAUGGGGAUGUUAACCUCAGGCAUCGGUCCGUCGAGAGUAUUAUGUGAUGGUGGUGACUGAUCUUCAGCCAUACGUUCAACCGUUCGUUCCUCCAUUUUAUUAAACUGUUCAUGUCUUUAA